GCGAUUACUAAUCCAACUUCUUGAGUUGCGUCCGGCACGGUGCCUCAUCCACAUCGCGCCGGCCAGGGCCCGCCCGGUUGUCCCCCCGGGUGGGCC
rnacentral:sRNA from 1 species